AGCCUGUCCCAGUUCCCUUCUUUCCCCUCCCAUUUGACCUGGGUUUACACCAAGACAGGUCCUCUCAUCCCUUCAAGCUCUCCUUGCCUUUGGGGCCAACAACAGACAGAAUCCUGUCUCUACCAAAGAAUUCCUUGAGGCAGGGGCAGCUGGAAGGUUUUCUUCAGAUCCUUCAAAAGGUAUCUGUUCAUUCAUUUAUUCAUUCCAUAAAUCAUUUAUCAUGCAUUGCUUAUUCAUUUGUGGAGAAAUCAUUUGUAAAGUCAUUCAUUAUUCAUUAAUUCAUCUUUAUCAUUCAAGCAUUAAGCAUUCACUCCAAUUUCAGUCAUCAUUAACUGACAAAUUCAUUCAUUCAAACCUUCAUUCAUUCAUACAACUUUCAUUCUUCAGUAUUUAGCAUUGAUUCAUUCAGUAUUGUCAUCAUUCAAUCACUCAUUCAUUCACUGGGCAUUCAUUUACCAUCCAUGUGUUUGUCUAAUCUUCCCUUUGUUUUCCUCAACUAUUGCUUCCAUCUGGAACCCCAGAGCCCAGUCUUCUUGCCUUAGAAGUAAAUCUGAAGUUGGGAUUGCUCUUCCCCAAAUAUCUGAGGCCAGAAAAUAACUGAACCCAGUGUGGAAUAAACUCCAAUGCCGAUCGGUUUUCAAGAAGUUAACCUAAGACAAAAUACUGCUAGAGGGCAGCAAUUUGGAUUCAUUAAAGAGAACCCGUGUAAAUAAUAAAAACAAAACUAAAAUGCAGAAUUAAAUUAAGGGAUAGGAAAUUAAAUUUGUGAAUCUAAUCUGAAAUUGAGGCCUUCGAUGUACAGACUUAUACUGGUUUGGCUCUUUCCUCAGAGUUUAAGCUGAGGAUUUGCGGAAGCUCCAGCAUCCAGGGAAAUGACUGUGCCUGGCAGAGGGGACACCCACUGCUCCUGCUGUCUCCUCAGGUGCCCCAGAGUGAGAAGGCGCCCAUUGUGCAGGGGCCACUGAGGAGGUCUGGCAGCCCACCUGAUGGCCUGGUGGAGAGGGCUGCCCCUCUCUAGGGUUACCCUCCGAUGAUUCAAAAUGAGGCAUCCUGACCACAUCUGGAUGGCUCCUGCCCUAGCCCAGUGUCUGGGUGAGAGAGAAAAGCCUUGCAGCUGUGGUUCUGCCGCCAACCCAAGGGUGCACAGGAAAUGAAGCAGAUGGAGGGCGGUAGGACUGAUCUGCUGAGAGGAAGCAGUCCUGUAGAGCGCUGGACCAAACCAGGACCCACCUUGUAUCCAUGUGUCUAGAGUUCGAGCAUUUAGUCUCAAUACCCAUCCACUCUCAGCCUCCAAAUGGCUUCUGGGCAUUCACAGGCUUCAGUAGCCUGUGUGUAAGGGCCUGGAGCCAACAUAGAUGAAUGUGACCUCUUUCUCUGGACAGAGGAAUGACCCCUCACAGUGACCCUUGAACUCAGAUCUCAAUUUCUCUCACCACUUCUUUGGAAGUUCAGCUCUGGAUAGUGGACUGGCCAGGAGAGGCAACAGUAGGUAUACCUCAGAGUCAAGAAGAUCCAAGUUCAAGUCCCACCUCUAACUCCCCCUGGCUGUUGCAUCCCAAGCAGAUAAGUCAUUUGACAUCCUGGCACCUCAGGUAAAAUUUUAAGACCAUAAUUUGCAGAACAGUUGCUGAUCUACAUUAGUAAAGGGAGUUUUGGCGCUGGGAGUUCCCUCCAGCAAUGAACCUACCUACUGGGUUCAAAAGAGAGAAUGUAUCCAACACUGUGCUGGAUGUUGGAGCUACAAAGACAAAAGUGAAGUCGUUCCUGCUUUCAGGGAGCUUACAUUAUAUGGGGUAAACAACACAUACACAUAGAAGUAUAUAUGAAAUAUACACAAGUAAUUGGAUGGCAGUGGAAUUAGUGGCAAAUUCAAGACUCAAACCAAGAUCUUCCAGCUCUAAAGUCAGUGUUCAUGUCAAGCCCCAAAUGGAAAGCCUAGCAUCCAAGGAAGCCUGACAGGGGCCACAACCUCCGAAGGGGAGCUUUACUGCCCUGCAUUCGUUAUCCCUAGCCCUAGCUUUGAGUUUUCACAGUAGAGGACAGAAGACUUACCUCUAUCACAGAAGAGUUCCCAGCCAAGCAUCCAAACUCCAUAUUCAGUAAAAGUAUUUUUCUCAAGCAUUUAGUCCCCUCCUAGGCCAACUCAUAGAUACCCCAGAUCCUCAA